rnacentral:rRNA from 1 species
UACGAAGGGGGCUAGCGUUGCUCGGAAUUACUGGGCGUAAAGCGCACGUAGGCGGCUUCUUAAGUCGGUGGUGAAAUCCUGGAGCUCAACUCCAGAACUGCCUUCGAUACUGGGAAGCUCGAGUCCGGGAGAGGUGAGUGGAACUGCGAGUGUAGAGGUGAAAUUCGUAGAUAUUCGCAAGAACACCAGUGGCGAAGGCGGCUCACUGGCCCGGUACUGACGCUGAGACGCGAAAGCGUGGGGAGCGAACAGG